rnacentral:rRNA from 1 species
UACGUAGGCAGCGAGCGUUGUUCGGAGUUACUGGGCGUAAAGGGUGUGUAGGCGGUUGUUUAAGUUUGGUGUGAAAUCUCCCGGCUUAACCGGGAGGGUGCGCCGAAUACUGAAUGACUAGAGUGCGGGAGAGGUGAGUGGAAUUCCUGGUGUAGCGGUGAAAUGCGUAGAUAUCGGGAGGAACACCUGUGGCGAAAGCGAGCUGCUGGACCUCUGCUGACGCUGAGGCGCGAAAGCCAGGGGAGCAAACGGG